UACGGGGGGUGCAAGCGAUACUCGGAAUCACUGGGCGUAAAGGGCGCGUAGGCGUCUUGUUAAGUCUUGAGUGAAAGCCUACAGCUUAACUGUAGAACUGCUUGGGAAACUGACAAGAUUGGGUAUGGAAGAGGUAGGUGGAAUUUCCAGUGUAGGGGUAAAAUCCGUAGAUAUUGGAAGGAAUACCAGAAGCGAAGGCGACCUACUGGGACAUUACUGACGCUGAGGCGCGAAAGCGUGGGGAGCAAAAAGG
rnacentral:rRNA from 1 species